rnacentral:rRNA from 1 species
UUAAUAGUAAAAUCUGCUCAAUGAGUUUUAAAUAGCCGCAAUUUGUGCUAAGGUAGCAUAAUCAUUUGUCUUUUAAAUAAAGACUAGAACAAAAGAUUUAACAUUUUAAUCUUUUUAUUAAAUAUUUAUUUUCAAUUUUUUUUAAAUGUUAAAAAACAUUUAUUUUAUAGAAAGACGAUAAGACCCUAUUGAACUUAACUUUAGUUAAACUGGGGUAGUUAUUUAAUUAUUAUUUUAAAUUAUUUAUUUAAUAACAAAUCUAUUUUAAAAUAAAUUAUCAAGUUACCAUAGGGAUAACAGCGCAAUUAUAUUUUUAAGUCCUUAUACAAAAAAUAGAUUACGACCUCGAUGUUGAAUUAAUAACCUAAUUUUUAAAGUAAAUUUUAUUACAGGAAGUCUGUUCGACUUUUAAACAAUUACAUGAUUUGAGUUCAGACCGGUAUAAGCCAGGUCGGUUUCUAUCUUCUAUAAAAUUUUCUUGUAGUACGAAAGGACCUAAGAAUUUAAUAUCAAUUAAUUAAUUAGCAAAAAAAUGCAUUAGAAUUAGAAUCUAAAAAAAC